rnacentral:misc_RNA from 1 species
CAUAACAUUUGGAGAAAUAAAAGGCAAGCUUUUUAUCUCCUUUUCUCUAAAGCUUCUUAUGCUCAUAAUUGUACCAUAAGAGAAUACCAUGUCAUUACUUACAAGCUGUUAGAGUCACCACAGGUGACAACCAAACAUAUGUUAUAGUCUGUGCUAAGUAACUAAGAAGCCUGCAUUGCCUUUUGAUUUUGAUUUUGAUUUUAAUGUGAAAAAAUGGGCUCACUGCCUUCACUCUUUGUUCUUACCCCUUGCAUUGGGUGAAUAAUUGGGACAUCAGAUGCUUGAAG